rnacentral:misc_RNA from 1 species
GCAUCGCAGGAUACAAAUACCACGAGGAAGGGGACCAAUAUGCGGCGAUUAAUGAUGAUGGUCACGAUGAUAAGCCUUUCUUGAUCUCUGCAUUUUGGUUCUUGAGUGAUAUCAAAAUACAGAGGAUGAAUAUAAGAAGACUCAGUUCCCUCAUGCUUGCCACUUCAAAGAUUGGAUUCACCAUUUCUCUUGCUUGCUUUUUUCUUUAGAUUGAUUGAUAUUUAUCUUCUCUUCAGUUUUUGUGUUUUUGCUUCGAGAGAAGAGCUCAGGGAAGCAAAGUAGCGAGUGGCGAGU